rnacentral:tRNA from 1 species
GGGGUUGUAAAUUAGUGGUAAAGGUCAGAUUUGGGAUCUGCAUCUCCGGGGUUCGAUUCCUCGCUCCCCCA